rnacentral:lncRNA from 12 species
AAGCCAGAGCAGGAGAAACACACAGGCUUCCAGUAAUCUGCAAAGAAGUUCUGCUAAAUCAUGCUUGGCUCCUCCUACAGCAAGCCCAGUAGUGUGUGAGAGCAUUUCUCCGGCAGAUGCAUGGCCCUACUGCGAUGACAUAAAGGCCUAGGUAAGUUUCAAAAUUAAGGAGACCUAGACUCUCCCAGUCCUUUCAAAUUCAUUCAGUAGUUAUUGAUAGAUUUUUACAAAAGUCUCUGUCAUCCUCUUUUUAAGAUUAAAAGGAUCACAUCUCAGAUAAAACUUUCUCCCAUGAAUUCAUGUGGCAAAGAUCCUUUUUAAAAUACUUGUACAUACCACGAAUGAAAAUUAAUCUUUUUAAGGUGUAUUUUUUUGUCCUUCACUUAUACAGUCUGUACAUUGGCAGUUUUUCAUCAAGAUGCCAGAUUUUAAGAAAAUAAAUCUGUGUGCAUCGACCUUUUAAUAUCAAACAGAGCUCUUUCAUUUUUAGACUGUGAGAUCCUGGAAAGGAGCUUCAGCAAUUUCUGCCACAAUGAUGAGCAAAGCAGCAGAUUCUUUGAAGAAUAUGUGCUGAGAUCUGGGAUCCCCCUGAGCAGCGUAGAUGUGAGACUGGAGAAGCUGUGCUCCCUGAUAUGGAGAUGCCUAGCCCUGGCUGAGUGGAACAGUGGCCUUGCAGUUCCAAGGCUGGGACUUCCAGGAGCAGAGAGGCUUAGCUCACUCCAGGAGCCUCAGCAGACAUGGAGACCACUCUGCUUCUCCUCUCCUAGCACAGGGGGAGACUGUGUCAUCUCCUUUUUGACAAAGGGGGAUUCCAGAAGUGGUACCUGAGUCACAGGAUUCUGGCAGAGAGACAAACCAUUCCAGGCACCCAAUACCCAAAAGGAGGAAGACUAGGAAAUACAUAAAGAAUGCAAGUGGACAACGAAUUUCAGAUAAAGACUUAAAGCCUUAAAUGAAAGAUAGAUUAGAGACUUAAAUGAUCUACUCAGCAAAUUUACUGGGAAGCUACCAGAACUUCAUCAUUAGCCCUGGCAUGGGCUGCUUCUAAUGCCCCAGGAAUUGCCCCAGCUAUGUGUCCAUGAGGUCAUCAGUUCUCAAAAAUUUGCAAAACCAAGUUAUUUUAAGAACCAACAGCUGAGACCGCUGUCUCUUCUUGCCUAGAGCAAUCGGCCUUCCUUGUAGGCCCUGGGACUGAGAGAGCUCCUGGGCCAUGGGAUGUUCAGUACUUAAAAUCAGCAAAGUCCUUGGCAAGCUGAGGUAAGUCGCUCAUCCUACUUUCCAUUCUUCCCACGUCUCUCUCAUCAGAUGGCCCUGGAAAAAAUAUAGGGCCUAUGGGGUCUGGCAGAGGGGAGGCUGAAUAAGGGAUGUAUUUCAUUUUGGCCUGGUGGGAUAGAUGCCUGGGAUUUGUAAUUUGUAAUUUUGCAUUAAGUUAUUGGUAAGUGUUGCAGAACAUCAGCCUCCAGGGUGCUAGCACUGACCCACUCAACAUUCUCUCACCAAGACACAGGACCUUG